ACACCGGCAGCUCAAGUGGUAGCCGCUUUUAUUGGGCCUAAAGCGUCCGUAGCCGGUCUGAUAAGUCUCUGGUGAAAUCCCACAGCUUAACUGUGGGAAUUGCUGGAGAUACUAUCAUGACUCGAGGUCGGGAGAGGCUGGAGGUACUCCCAGGGUAGGGGUGAAAUCCUGUAAUCCUGGGAGGACCACCUGUGGCGAAGGCAUCCAGCUGGAACGAACCUGACGGUGAGGGACGAAAGCCAGGGGCGCGAACCGGAUUAGAUACCCGGGUAGUCCUGGCCGUAAACGAUGUGGACUUGGUGUUGGGAUGGCUUCGAGCUGCCCCAGUGCCGAAGGGAAGCUGUUAAGUCCACCGCCUGGGAAGUACGGCCGCAAGGCUGAAACUUAAAUGAAUUGGCGGGG
rnacentral:rRNA from 1 species